rnacentral:rRNA from 1 species
UACGUAGGGUGCGAGCGUUUGUCCGGAAUUACUGGGCGUAAAGAGCUCGUAGGUGGUUUGUCGCGUUGUCCGUGAAAUUCCCUGGCUUAACUGGGGGCGUGCGGGCGAUACGGGCAGACGUGGAGUACUGCAGGGGAGACUGGAAUUCCUGGUGUAGCGGUGGAAUGCGCAGAUAUCAGGAGGAACACCGAUGGCGAAGGCAGGUCUCUGGGCCGUAACUGACGCUGAG